GAUGAACGCUGGCGGCGUGCCUAAUACAUGCAAGUCGAGCGAACAGACGAGGCGCUUGCUCCUCUGACGUUAGCGGCGGACGGGUGAGUAACACGUGGAUAACCUCCCUAUCAGACUGGGAUCACUUCGGGACACCGGAGCUAAUCCCGGAUAAUCUAUUGAUCCGCAUGGUUCAUUAGUGAAUGACGGUUUUGCUGUCACUUAUAGAUGGAUCCGCGCCGCAUUAGCUAGUUGGUAAGGUAACGGCUUACCAAGGCAACGAUGCGUAGCCGACCUGAGAGGGGGAUAGGCGACACGAGAAGGGGGACACGGACCAGACGCCUAAGGGAGGCAGCAGAAGGGAAUGGGACGCAAUGGGCGAAAGCCUGACGGAGCAAGGCCGAGUGAGAGAUGAAGAUCUUCGGAUCGUAAAAAUCUGUUAUGAGGGAAGAACAAAUGUGUAAGGAACUAUGCACGGAUUGACGGUACCGAAUAAGAAAGCAACGGCUAACUACGUG
rnacentral:rRNA from 1 species